AUGAGCUUUACCACUCGCUUCACCUUAUCCACCAACUACCAGUCCCUGAGCUCUGUCAAGGCACCCAGCUAUGGCGCCUGGCCAGCGUCUAUCCAGGUGCUGCGGGCUCUGGUUCCCAGAUCUCCGUGUCCCACUCCACCAGCUUCUGGGACAGCUUGGGGUCUGGCUGCAGGGAUGGCCGAGGGGCUGGCAGGAAUGGGAGGCAUCCAGAAUGAGGAGACCAUGCAAUGCCUGAAUGCCUGGCCUCCUACCUGGACAGAGUGAGAGCCUGGAAACCGAGAACCGGAAGCUGGAGAGCAAAAUCCAGGAGCACCUGGAGAAGAAGGGACCCCAGCUCAGGGACUGGGGCCAUUACUUCAAGACCAUCAAGGACCUGAGAGCUCAGAUCUUCUUAAAUACUGUGGACAAUGCCCACAUCGUUCUGCAGAUUGACAAUGCCCAUCUUGCUACUGACGACUUUAGAGUCAAGUAUGAGACAGAGCUGGCCAUGUGCCAGUCUGUGGAGAGUGACAUCCAUGGACUCCACAAGGUCAAUGAUGACAUCAAUGUCACUUGGCUGCAGCUGAAGCCAGAGAUCGAGGCUCUCAACGAAGAGCUGUUCUUCAUGAAGAAGAACCAUAAAGGGGAAGUAAAAGGCCUACAAGCCCAGAUUGCCAGCUCUGGGUUGACCAUGGAGGCAGAUGCCCCCAAAUCUCAGGACAGCAAGAUCAUGGCAGACAUCUUGGCCCAAUACAAUGAGCUGGCUUGAAAGAAUCGACAGGAGCUAGACAAGUACUGGUCUCAGCAGAUUGAGGAGGGCACCACAGUGGUCACCACGCAGUCUGCUGAGGCUGGAGAGGCUAAGAUGACGCUCACAGAGCUGAGACAUACAGUCCAGUCCUUAAAGAUUGACCUGGACUCAAUGAGAAAUGUGAAGGCCAGUUUGUAGAACAGACUGAGGGAGGUGGAGGCCCUCUACUUCCUGCAGAUGGAGCAGCUUAACGGGAUCCUGCUGCAACUGCAGUCAGAGCUGGCACAGACCCGGGCAGAGGGGCAACGCCAGGCCCAGGAGUGAGUACGAGGCCCUGCUGAAUAUCAAGGUCAAACUAGAGGCUGAGAUCGCCACCUACCACCACCUGCUGGAAGAUGGCAAGGACUUCAAUCUUGGUGAUGCCCUGGACAGCAGCAACUCCAUGCGAACCAUCCAAAAGACGACCAUCCACCAGAUAGUGGAUGGCAAAGUGGUAUCUGAGACCAAUGACACCAAAGUUCUGAGAAUUAAGCCAGCAGAAGCAGGUCUACCCGCACUUCUACAGCAGAGGACAGAGAAUUCACCCAACCCUCCAACCCCGUUCCCCGUGUGUCCCUCCCCACCGCCCCCGCGGGCCCAAAAGGGAGAGCUGGGUUUGAAGGAAGCUCUGACCCUAGACAGGGGACAUGCAAGAGGAGGAAGGCAGCGAUGUCCAACCUUCUACUUCUCUCAGGCAGUGAGCCGGCCGGGGCCCCUCCCGACGGUCUCCCGCCAGGCCUACAGUCGACCGGGUCGGUCCGCGGGCGUGGUUGGCUCUGGCCCUGGCGGCGGCCGGGCCUCCCAGAUCUCCGGCCCCUCCCGCCGGCCAGGCCCCCGGGCCGCCGCCCCGACACCGAUGGAACGCGGAGGAGGAAGGGGGAGCCAGGCGACUGACCGGCGACAUGAGCCGCCUCACCCUCGGCUCGGCCGACCCGCGCCCCCCGCUCCCUCUGGGGCCGUCUGGAGCUCCCCGCCCCUUACUCACCCCCCCGGUCCGGCGCCUCCUCCACCUCCUCCACCUCCUCCACCUCCUCCUCCUCCUCCUCCUCCCUCCUCUCGGCCGUGGCUCCUGCUCCGGCUCUGCGCGGCGACGGCAGCGGCAGCGGCGGCGGCAGCGGCCUCGGGAGCGGCGGCGGCGCCUCCUCCAGAACGCGCACGCACGCACCACGCAGGCCCCGCCCCCUGGUUCUGCCCCGCCCCUCCAAGUUGGCGUUGGCUGGGCUUCGGCCCCGCCUUCCCCACGGCGUUCCGGAGUCCGCUUAAAGGAGCCGCGCACACUGGAGUCGGGAAAGCCUGGAACUACCGGGAAGGGGCGGGGAGUUUUAGCUUUGCGUAGGGCGGGAUGGGAGGUGGGUAAG